rnacentral:rRNA from 1 species
GACGAACGCUGGCGGCGUGCUUAACACAUGCAAGUCGAGCGGUAAGGCCCUUUCGGGGGUACACGAGCGGCGAACGGGUGAGUAACACGUGGGUGACCUGCCCUCAGCUCUGGGAUAAGCCCGGGAAACUGGGUCUAAUACUGGAUAUGACUCCACGGUGCAUGCCGUGGGGUGGAAAGCCUUGUGCGGCUGAGGAUGGGCCCGCGGCCUAUCAGCUUGUUGGUGGGGGUGAUGGCCUACCAAGGCGACGACGGGUAGCCGGCCUGAGAGGGCGACCGGCCACACUGGGGCUGAGACACGGCCCAGACUCCUACGGGA